rnacentral:rRNA from 1 species
UACGGGGGGGGCAAGCGGUUGUUCGGAAUUACUGGGCGUAAAGGGCUCGUAGGCGGCCAACUAAGUCAGACGUGAAAUCCCUCGGCUUAACCGGGGAACUGCGUCUGAUACUGGAUGGCUUGAGAUUGGGAGAGGGAUGCGGAAUUCCAGGUGUAGCGGUGAAAUGACGUAGAUAUCUGGAGGAACACCGGUGGCGAAGGCGGCAUCCUGGACCGGCAUUGACGCUGAGGCGCGAAAGCCAGGGGAGCAAACGGG